GCAUGCCGGGCUAAUCGCUUCUAUAAAGACCCUAUCUCAUCUCUCUCAGAGAGUGCGCUGUAAGAAGAGCUUCCUACCGAGCUUGCCAAUGGCAGGAGUGAUCAAGGUGGGGUCAUGGGGAGGGAACAAAGGGGCUCACUGGGACAUGGGACCUGCUUCCCGCAUCACAAGGGUGCAGAUUUAUGCUGGGUUGAUCGUCGACUCCAUUAAGGUUUGGUACGUCGUUGACGGCACGCCCAACGAAACGUUCCGGCACGGGCUCCGGCGGCAACCCCCACCAGUUUCAUCUCCGGAAGGGAGAAUACAUCAAUUGUAUCUCAGGCCAUGUCAAAGACUUCCGUGGAACUCGAUGCGUAUCCCAACUCACCUUUGUCACUAAUAUGAGGAAGACACACGGUCCAUUCGGACAGGGUGGUGGGGUCGCUUUCUCCGUUCUUGUCGCCGAGGUGUUACGGACAAACUUUGAAACAAGGUGUUUGAUGUAAUGCUUAUGUAUGUCCGUAUAUUCUGGCGUGUUCAUGCCUUGUACAGAAUGUAAAGGGGCGGCCGAAGGCUUAAUAGUCUCACUUUAGUUGGGUUGGUGGCCUCUUUAGGCUUGUAAAUAAAGGUAGUGUCAUGUGGACACGUGCGAGAGCUUUUCGGUCUGUAAUGAACCAUUUUACCCUUUGUUGUGCAACUGUUCAGAGCUUGUAAAGUCUGUUUGUAAUUUGCAUUGUCUAUGAAGUGUUUUACGGA